UACGUAGGGGGCAAGCGUUGUCCGGAUUUACUGGGCGUAAAGAGCGUGUAGGCGGCCAAGCAGGUCCGUUGUGAAAACUGGAGGCUUAACCUCCAGACGUCGACGGAAACCGCGUGGCUAGAGUCCGGAAGAGGAGAGUGGAAUUCCUGGUGUAGCGGUGAAAUGCGCAGAUAUCGAGAGGAACACCAGAGGUGAAGACGGGUUGCUGGGCCGACACUGACGCUGACAGCGCGAAAGCCAGGGGAGCAAACGGG
rnacentral:rRNA from 1 species